GACCGCUACGGUGGCCAAAGUGGUUUGAGCGUCCUCCUAGAAUGCGGGAGGUCGCGGGUUCGAAUCUCGUUCUAGUCA